GAUGGAUGUGGAAAAGGAGGAGGAGGAGGAGGAGGAGGAGAUAAAGAAGAAGAAGAAGAAGAAGAAGAGCCGAGAUAUAAGCAUGGGAUCAAGGAAGAAGAGAAACAAGAGGAGGAAGAAGAGUUGGCGGUGGUGAAGAUGUUGUUGCUAGCGGUGGUGGAGGUGGUGUUGCUGGUGGUGGUGGAGGUGGUGUUGCUGGUGGUGGUGGAGGUGGUGUUGCUGGUGGUGGUGGAGGGGGUGUUGCUGGUGGUGGUGGAGGUGGUGUUGCUGGUGGUGGUGAAGAUGUUGUUGCUAGCGGUGGUGGAGGUGGUGUUGCUGGUGGUGGUGGAGGUGGUGUUGCUAGCGGUGGUGGAGGGGGUGUUGCUGGUGGUGGUGGAGGUGGUGUUGCUGGUGGUGGUGGAGGUGGUGUUGCUGGUGGUGGUGGAGGUGGUGUUGCUGGUGGUGGUGGAGGUGGUGUUGCUGGUGGUGGUGGAGGUGGUGUUGCUGGUGGUGGUGGAGGUGGUGUUGCUGGUGGUGGUGGAGGUGGUGUUGCUGGUGGUGGUGGAGGUGGUGUUGCUGGUGGUGGUGGAGGUGGUGUUGCUGGUGGUGGUGGAGGUGGUGAUGAAGGCAGAGGAUGAAACACGUAGCCAAGGAAAUUACGACCCUAACAUAACUAUCUCACAGCACUGUCGGACUCAGCAAAUCUUUACCGCCGAUAUUCUUAAGAGGGGCAGUGAAGCCAUCUAGCCGCCAUCUUGCCCUGCCUGGAACACCCUCACACCAGUACCAGGCGAGGGGCAGUGAAGCCAUCUAGCCGCCAUCUUGCCCUGCCUAAAACACCCUCACACCAGUACCAGGCGAGGGGCAGUGAAGCCAUCUAGCCGCCAUCUUGCCCUGCCUGGAACACCCUCACACCAGUACCAGGCGAGGGGCAGUGAAGCC